GGGGAUUUGGCUCAGUGGUAGAGCACUUGCCUAGUAAGCGCAAGGCCCUGGGUUCGAUCCCCAGCUCCG
rnacentral:tRNA from 1 species